rnacentral:rRNA from 1 species
UAAAGUACAUAAGGGCACAUGGGGGAUGCCUAGGCUCUGGAAGGCGACGAAGGACGUGAUAAGCUGCGAUAAGCCGCGGGGAUUGGCAAAUACGAAUCGAUCCGCGGAUUUCCGAAUGGGGCAACCUGAUACGAGAAGAUUGUAUCAUUCCAUCCAGUAUGGAAGGCAAACGCGGGGAACUGAAACAUCUAAGUACCCGCAGGAGAAGAAAACAAAAGUGAUUCCCGGAGUAGUGGCGAGCGAAACGGGAAUAGCCCAAACCGGUGUUGUUUCGGCAAUACCGGGGUUGUAGGACCGGGAAGUGGCAAGAGACCAAGGAAGCGGAAGCGCCUGGAAAGGCGCAUCGUAGAGGGUGAUAAUCCCGUACGCGACUCCCUGGCGAAGCCUACCGGUAUCCUGAGUAGCGCGGGACACGAGAAAUCCUGUGUGAAUCCGGCGGGACCAUCCGCCAAGGCUAAAUACUCACCAGAGACCGAUAGUGAACCAGUACCGUGAGGGAAAGGUGAAAAGAACCUCGAACAGAGGAGUGAAAUAGACCCUGAAACCAUGUGCUUGCAAGCGGUCGGAGCCCCGUUUACGGGGUGACGGCGUGCCUUUUGCAUAAUGAACCUACGAGUUACUCUUGUUGGCAAGGUUAAGCGCAAUGAUGCGCGUCAGCCGCAGCGAAAGCGAGUCCGAACAGGGCGCAUAGUCAGCAGGAGUAGACGCGAAACCAAGUGAUCUACCCUUGAGCAGGCUGAAGUUUUGGUAACACAACAUGGAGGGCCGAACCGGUAAACGUUGAAAAGUUUUCGGAUGACUUGAGGGUAGGGGUGAAAGGCUAAUCAAACUUGGAGAUAGCUCGUACUCCCCGAAAUGCAUUUAGGUGCAGCCUCGGAUCAUGAGCUUACAUGAGGUAGAGCUACUGAUUGGAUGCGAGGGCUUCGCCGCCUAUCAAGUCCAGACAAACUCCGAAUGCGUGUAAGUGAUCUCCGGGAGUGAGGGCGCGGGUGCUAAGGUCCGUGUCCGAGAGAGGAACAACUCAGACCAUCAGCUAAGGUCCCCAAAUAUGUGCUAAGUUGCAUUAAACGAAGUUCUGCCGCAGCGACAGCUAGGAUGUUGGCUUGGAAGCAGCCAUUCAUUUAAAGAGUGCGUAACAGCUCACUAGUCGAGUGGCGGAGCGUGGAUAAUAAUCGGGCAUAAGCAUAUUACCGAAGCCAUGGAAUUCUAAUGAAUUGGUAGGGGAGCAUUCCGGUCCUGCGUUGAAGGCGUACUGCGAGGUACUCUGGAGCGUCCGGAAAAGCAAAUGUAGGUAUAAGUAACGAUAAUGCGGAUGAGAAAUCCGCACGCCGAAAGACUAAGGUUUCCUGAUCAACGCUAAUCGGAUCAGGGUUAGUCGGGGCCUAAGGAUAAGCCUAGAGGCGAUUCCGAUGGAAGAAACGGUUAAUAUUCCGUUACUGCUUUGAUAAGUUAUGUGGGGACGCAGAAGUGACACCACUGCCAUCUGACGGAAUAGAUGGUUGAAGGGGGUAGGCUGUGACCGGUGCAGGCAAAUCCGCACCGGGAGCUGAACCUGAAAGUAUGGCAAGUCUUCGGAUGAGCCAAUAAUGUGGGUAAGCAGACUGCCGAGAAAAUCCGCUAAACGCCAAUUAUCAACGCACCCGUACCGUAAACCGACACAGGUAGUUGGGUUGAAAAUACUAAGGCGCUCGAGUGAUUCACGGUUAAGGAACUAGGCAAAAUAGUCCUGUAACUUCGGGAGAAAGGACGCCACUGGCGACAGUGGCCGCAGAGAAUAGAUUCUGGCGACUGUUUAACAAAAACACAUGGCUAUGCGAAUUCGAAAGAAGCUGUAUAUAGCCUGACACCUGCCCGGUGCUGGAAGGUUAAGAGGAGAUGUCAUCGCAAGAGAAGCAUUGAAUUGAAGCCCCAGUAAACGGCGGCCGUAACUAUAACGGUCCUAAGGUAGCGAAAUUCCUUGUCGG